CACGCAAGAUACAACCUGUAUCAACACAGAACAGAGGCCAUGUAGCAUUUUAGCUAGCAUACCCAACUCACCAGGCACCACUAGCAGCAACCAUCUUAUCUCAUUCCACCACCUAUGCAAAUCCUACACUAUCUAGAGAAAACUCAAAGGUGGAUUUGUUCCCAGUUCCAGCUUUGGAAGGAGUGGCAGAGAGAGAAGAAAAAAAGAGAAACAUAAAGCAAUCCUUCCAACCGGUUAACCCACAGAGUUUCAUUUGAAAUCAGGGGGCCACUCUAUUUGCUGGUUUACAAUUUCGUGAAAUAUAAGAUGUGGUUAUGAAAAGAAGAAAUAUUAUGUAUUUUGCAUGGGAGAAUUUCUCAAAAAAAAAAAAAAA